rnacentral:tRNA from 1 species
GGGCCCGUAGCUUAGCCUGGCCAGAGCAUUGGUCUUAUAACUUCUCCGGAGUUAAUGGGGAAGUAAGAGCACCAAGGGUCGGCGGUUCAAAUCCGCCCGGGCCCA